UCCUAAUUCCAUCUCCCUUCUCCCUUCUCCCUUCUCCCUUCUCCAUAUCCUUGUUAUUCUUUCUCACAUAUCUUUGCCGUGAAAAAUGGAGUUAUCCUCCAUUUUCACACUUUCCACCACCACACAUUUCACUCACUUCUUCCCACCUCUCAUUUUUUUCUCGUCGUCGGCGAUUCUCAACCUCGUUUCGUUCAAUCCUCCCACAAUUCUUCUUCCGAACCUCAUUCCACUUCUUCUUCUACUAUUCCUCCUCAUUACCCAACCAACUCCGCCGCCCUAAAACCAGUGCUCCCUUAAAGAAACAAAAGGAAACCCACCCAAAUCAUAUAAAUAUGAUAUGUUAAACGCGAUUACGCGAUGCUUAUCUUCCACUGCUUUCGCGCGAAAUUCUCUUGCUAACUUAUCGAAUUAGCGUCGAUCACGGAACACCGUACCACCAGCGCCGCCAUUAAGUAUCUGCCACCGUCGCCGCUCGCCACCGUCAUUGUCUGACAGUUGAUUUCAAGCAUAAUGAAGAAAGUGCGUGGACAAAUGAGAUCUAUAUCGAGAGCCACAUUUCCGAAAUGGACAGCAGUAAAGAAAAGUAGAAGAAAGUCGAUUGAGAGAAGAUAUUAUUAUGCGUAUCUACGCUUCUAAAACUUAUUAGCAAAAGUUAGCGUAUAUUCAUCACCUACGGUUGGGAGAUUUCAAGUCAACAUGACAAACAAAUGGUGAAAUAGACUCAAAAGACUGGCGAAAAACAUCAUCUCGAUCUUCAUCAGAUAUAUGGAAGCUCCUUUUAAAAACUUGGAUGUAAUUAGGUUUAAUGUUCAUGCUAUUUUAGACUGUAAACUACAACUAGCUUACACUUUUCUUCCCUAUCUCCUUCCCUUGCUUCUCCAAGGGAAUAUUUUGCAUGUUAGACGACUGAAAAACUACUGCAAGUGAUGUGUUAAAAGUUCAAACCAUGUUCUGAGGUACACAAACAUACAAAGCCCCCAAAUCAAAAAUAGAAAAAAAUCAUAUUGUAAUAACUUACUAAUAAGGUAGAGUAGUUAGGUACAGUUUUAGUUAGUAUAUCAAAUCAUCAAUGGUCAUAAGGUCAUACGAUCAAAUCUUAUCGAUUAUAAUUUUUUUCUUCUUUUUUUUAAUCUAUUUUUAAAGUAGUCAUUUUAACUCCAAACAUAUUUUGUUUUAUCAUUUACUUUUCAUUCAUUCAUUAAACAUCAACAAUCAUUAAAAAUAAUUAAGAUUUUAGUUCUUAAUUUUCAAUUCUUUAAACUUUUA